UACAGAGGGCUCGAGCGUUAGGCGGAAUCACUGGGCUUAAAGCGUGUGUAGGCGGAUCUGUAAGUACCUUGUGAAAUCCCACGGCUCAACCGUGGAACUGCUUGGUAUACUGCGGGUCUUGAGCCACCUAGGGGCAAGUGGAACAAACGGUGGAGCGGUGAAAUGCGUAGAUAUCAUUUGGAACGCCAACGGCGAAAGCAGGCAGCUGGGGAUGCACCGACGCUGAGACACGAAAGCCAGGGGAGCGAACGGG
rnacentral:rRNA from 1 species